UCAGACAGUUAUCUGAGAGACCGUGCUGUAUGGAGUGAGUGUACAGAACCGAGGAUGUGGUGGAGUUUAAUGUCACUCUGUUCUCUAUUUUGAUGGCGUGCGGAGCUCUGCAGGUCCUCCUGUGUGCAUUACAGAUCAUCAACAGCCUUUCUCGGUUGCAUCUGCGGCGCUUGUGGAGCCUGUGGUGCUUGCCUUGUCUCUAUGAGUGUACGUUACACCCAAAAAGCCAUGAAUCCAGUGGUGUGAUUGGACUCUGCGUUUCAUCCUGAACAUGAUUAAUGAUCUGAUCUGCCUGGGACAGUAAAAUCUAACAGCUGGACUGAUACAGAUGUUUUCCACUGUUCAUCUGCCCAAUAUCUUUUUUUCCUUUUAUCAUGUUAAACAUGUCAUUAUUAUGAAUAAACCUGAUUAUAUUUGAA